rnacentral:rRNA from 1 species
GGGCAAUGGCGGCAGCUACACAUGCAAGUCGAGCGGGGGAAGGUAGCUUGCUACCGGACCUAGCGGCGGACGGGUGAGUAAUGCUUAGGAAUCUGCCUAUUAGUGGGGGACAACAUCUCGAAAGGGAUGCUAAUACCGCAUACGUCCUACGGGAGAAAGCAGGGGAUCUUCGGACCUUGCGCUAAUAGAUGAGCCUAAGUCGGAUUAGCUAGUUGGUGGGGUAAAGGCCUACCAAGGCGACGAUCUGUAGCGGGUCUGAGAGGAUGAUCCGCCACACUGGGACUGAGACACGGCCCAGACUCCUACGGGAGGCAGCAGUGGGGAAUAUUGGACAAUGGGGGGAACCCUGAUCCAGCCAUGCCGCGUGUGUGAAGAAGGCCUUAUGGUUGUAAAGCACUUUAAGCGAGGAGGAGGCUACUCUAGUUAAUACCUAGGGAUAGUGGACGUUACUCGCAGAAUAAGCACCGGCUAACUCUGUGCCAGCAGCCGCGGUAAUACAGAGGGUGCGAGCGUUAAUCGGAUUUACUGGGCGUAAAGCGUGCGUAGGCGGCUUAUUAAGUCGGAUGUGAAAUCCCCGAGCUUAACUUGGGAAUUGCAUUCGAUACUGGUGAGCUAGAGUAUGGGAGAGGAUGGUAGAAUUCCAGGUGUAGCGGUGAAAUGCGUAGAGAUCUGGAGGAAUACCGAUGGCGAAGGCAGCCAUCUGGCCUAAUACUGACGCUGAGGUACGAAAGCAUGGGGAGCAAACAGGAUUAGAUACCCUGGUAGUCCAUGCCGUAAACGAUGUCUACUAGCCGUUGGGGCCUUUGAGGCUUUAGUGGCGCAGCUAACGCGAUAAGUAGACCGCCUGGGGAGUACGGUCGCAAGACUAAAACUCAAAUGAAUUGACGGGGGCCCGCACAAGCGGUGGAGCAUGUGGUUUAAUUCGAUGCAACGCGAAGAACCUUACCUGGCCUUGACAUACUAGAAACUUUCCAGAGAUGGAUUGGUGCCUUCGGGAAUCUAGAUACAGGUGCUGCAUGGCUGUCGUCAGCUCGUGUCGUGAGAUGUUGGGUUAAGUCCCGCAACGAGCGCAACCCUUUUCCUUACUUGCCAGCAUUUCGGAUGGGAACUUUAAGGAUACUGCCAGUGACAAACUGGAGGAAGGCGGGGACGACGUCAAGUCAUCAUGGCCCUUACGGCCAGGGCUACCACGUGCUACAUGGUCGGUACAAGGGUUGCUACCAGCGAUUGGAUGCUAUUCCAAAAGCCGAUCGUAGUCCGGAUGGGAGUUGGCACUCGAUCCCUGAAGCCGAAUCCCUAGAAUCCCGGAUCAAAAGCCCGGGGAAAACUUUCCCGGCCUUGACACCCCCCCCUCCACCUGGGAAUUUUUUGCCCCAAAAUUCUUCCCAAUCCAAAAGGGGGUUACCCGUGUGCCACGGGGGGGGGGAGGAAAACAAAAGAACCACCCCCCCC